GAAAAAAUUGGGAAUGACAGACAUGCCAGUUGUUGGAGUUAUGAAACCAGGAGCUGCUGGAUUGGCUGGAAUGGGAAUGAAGGCAUCAUCAGCAACUGCCAAGGAGGAGAAGAAGGCAGAAAAGACUGUUUACGAGUUGAAACUAGAGUCUUACGAAGCAUCUGCAAAGAUUAAAAUUAUCAAGGAGGUAAGAAGUUUCACUGAUUUAGGUCUGAAAGAGGCAAAGGAUUUAGUGGAGAAAACCCCAUCAGUGUUGAAGAAGGGACUAUCAAAGGAAGAGG
rnacentral:misc_RNA from 1 species